GAUGAACGCUGGCGGCGUGCCUAAUACAUGCAAGUCGAGCGAAGCGGGGACGGGUGAGUAACACGUGGAUAACCUCCUAUAAGACUGGGAUAACUUCGGGAAACCGGAGCUAAACCGGAUACUUAUCGAUGGAUCCGCUCUGCAUUAGCUAGGUGGGAAGGUAACGGCUUACCAAGUCAACGAUGCAUAGCCGACCUGAGAGGGUGAUAGGACACACUGGAACUGAGACACGGUCCAGACUCCUACGGUAGGCAGCAGUGGGGAAUCUUCCGCAAUGGGCGAAAGCCUGACGGAGCGACGCCGCGUGAUUGAUGAAGGUCUUCGGAUCGUAAAAUUCUUUUAUUAGUGAAGCGGUACCUAAGCAGAAAGCCCCGGCUAACUACGUGCCAGCAGCCGCGGUAAUUC
rnacentral:rRNA from 1 species